CCUACGGGAGGCAGCAGUGAGGAAUAUUGGUCAAUGGACGCAAGUCUGAACCAGCCAAGUAGCGUGCAGGAUGACGGCCCUAUGGGUUGUAAACUUCUUUUAUGUGGGGAUAAAAUGUUUCACGUGUGGCAUUUUGUAGGUACCACAUGAAUAAGGACCGGCUAAUUCCGUGCCAGCAGCCGCGGUAAUACGGAGGGUCCGGGCGUUAUCCGGAUUUAUUGGGUUUAAAGGGAGCGUAGGUUGCUUCUUAAGUCAGUUGUGAAAUGUUGCGGCUCAACCGUAAAAUUGCAGGGGAAACUGGGAGGCUUGAGUACAGCAGAGGUAGGCGGAAUUCGUGGUGUAGCGGGGAAAUGCUUAGAUAUCACGAAGAACUCCGAUUGCGAAGGCAGCUUACUGGAACGUAACUGACACUGAGGCUCGAAAGUGUGGGUAUCAAACAGGAUUAGAUACCCGAGUAGUC
rnacentral:rRNA from 1 species